GAAACGAAAACAGGAAAUCAAAUAAUCAAUUCAAUCAUUUUGAAUUCAAACAUUCAAAAAAUAGUAAUGAAAUUAAAAAGGAACAGUGCAAUUAAGUAGGACGUAAAGUUCGUCAAUUCCCUUGUGUAUACGUCUUGACUAUAAUAUACAAAACAAAUCUCAAUAAUUUUCUAGCAAAAACAAUGUCACAAUGAUAAGACCAUAACGCAUUUGCUAAAAGCACUUUGUCUUUGUUCUGGAAUUGUUAUCCUUUCAUGGUAAACGGAAGUUACAUGGGAGAAGUAGACACAUAAUAUUCGUCAUAUAACAAUAUAGGGCCUAAGAUUCCUAUUGUAAACAACAUAACGAAAAUUCUUUGUCUUUUUAUUUUUAUUAAUAAAGAUAUACAACGCGUUAAAUAUAUCAUUUCUAUUACACAUUUAUUUAUCGAAAUCUGAUACCAUCUCGGUACGUCAAGCAGCAUUCGGCAUUUUCCUGUUGAAUCCACACAGCAUGGCGUUAUCAAAGCGCAUAGCUAGAUCGUGUAUUCAUCUUGGUGUCGUUCAACUGAUAUUUGGUUGUGCUGGUGUAGCAUGUGGGGCUGUAGCAAAGAGCAAAUUGACAGGCCCCGUGGGAGCAACUAUUGGAUUAUGGGCAGCAUAUUUCAUCGCUUUAGGCGUGAUUUGUCUUACUGCGGGAGUUUUUAAAGAAUCCAGAGUCGGGCGUCGGAAGCGGGGGGGGGGCUGGGCUUGCUCCGCGUUCGAUAUCAUUAUAAGAAAGGUCUAUAGAUGGUUUCGCCUAAAAUGGAAUGAAUUAUUCAAAGUUUAGGAAUGAGAAAAAUUUAUCUCCAAUACUCUUGGAUUUGCUCUUGUUUUUCAAGUCAUUGGCCUGUUCAUUGCAGCCGCUGGAAUAAUAAUUUCUGCCAUAUUUUGGACAUUUCUGAAUACUUGCUCGAGUUCGCUGGUUGUUGGUCCAGUUUUACCCGAUCACUGUCCUUGCGGGGUUGCUGCAGAUCUUACGGACUAUGACAUUAGUUGUUCUGAUCUGAGAACGGUGAGAAAUGUCACAGCUGCCUCCACAUUUAUCUAUUUGAUUUUGGAAAUCACUUCAUUCAUCGGUGUAAUCUAUGCUUGUGUUGGCAUAUGUUGUGCACCAAAGGAACCAAGGUCUGUUACUGUCACCACAGUUAAUUCACAUGGUGCAUCAAAUCCUGAGUCAAAACCGAUGAUUAUGACCAAAAUAUUUAGAAAGAAACAUCAACCACAGGAUGACAAAAAGAAAAAUCGCAAGCGUUGAGAAACUCCUCAAUCACAUGCAUGACUGACAAACUACACUCACACGAGAUAGUCACUCUUUCGGGGUAAACACAACUUUAAUAUUCUCAAAUGUAUUUCACUAUAAAUUUGAAUGUGUUAUGUGAUAGACGACAUUAUAAUCUCAUUUACAAACUCAUAAUCAUAGUUUCGCAAUUAAGACUGACCGAUUAAAGGAGAAUGAUAUAUAAUCUAUAUAUAAGCUACCAAGUCUUUUAAACAUGCAGGUUGUGUCUAUUUUGUCUAUUCCGUAUUUGCUGUAUUAGUUUAUUCAUAGACUAUAUACUGAGCUUGAUAUAUUGUUUUGCAAAGAUAAAACAGACUCCGAAAAGCUAUCACACCAUUGCUUUACAGUACUGUCCAGAAAUAACCUAACACUGCGGUUCGGUUGCGGUCGCCUGAUAGAAACCGCAGACAACUGCAAGUGAAAAAAUACCUUCGCAGUGGCGAACGAAACGUUAUGAACGGCUGAGAAGGACAACACAAUAACCAAAUCGAAAAACUCUUAAGAAAUGUUUAUCAGACCGAGUUAGGCCGAGGUUUAACCUCCAUCUCACCGGGGUUGGACCUAGAUCUGUCCUCGGUUCAACCGUGAUCGGACCGAGGUUUGACCUAGGUUAACUGCUGUUUUUGUUAAGUUAUUUCUGGAGAGUACUGUACCUUGAAAAGGGUUGACUUUGUAAAGUUGAAAUUUGAAGUUUGAUUAAAAAAAUUUCAAUUCAAAGCUUCAAAGUCGAAUGCAAAUAUUCGCACAUUCAAAGAAUAACAUUUGACGUUUAGUCCCUGAACUCUGAUGAUUUUGUACUGUUUUGACGUUUUGAAGGUUGAAUUUUUAACCAUUAGUAUUACUCAUUACUAAGCUGUAAGAGUCCAUAAAUUGUAACUGGGGCAUAUAGACUAAUAAAUUUCUAAGCUGAAGCAGCAGAAAAACGGGUGAUGUUAACUUCAGUUUACGACC
rnacentral:misc_RNA from 1 species